rnacentral:tRNA from 1 species
UCCUUGUUAGCUCAGUCGGUAGAGCGUUCGGCUUUUAAGACCGAAAUGUCCAGGGUUCGAGCCCCUGAUAAGGAG